rnacentral:tRNA from 1 species
GGGGUCGUAGUCUAGCUUGGUCAGGAUGUCAGAGGCUGUCUCCUUGGAUGGCCGACGAACCCGGGGCGCUGGAGGUCGUGGGUUCAAAUCCCACCGACCCCA